rnacentral:rRNA from 1 species
GGGCUGCAGUGGGGAAUAUUGGACAAUGGGCGCAAGCCUGAUCCAGCCAUGCCGCGUGUGUGAAGAAGGUCUUCGGAUUGUAAAGCACUUUAAGUUGGGAGGAAGGGUUGUAGUUUAAUACGCUGCAAUCUUGACGUUACCGACAGAAUAAGCACCGGCUAACUCUGUGCCAGCAGCCGCGGUAAUACAGAGGGUGCAAGCGUUAAUCGGAAUUACUGGGCGUAAAGCGCGCGUAGGUGGCUAAGUAAGAUGGGUGUGAAAUCCCCGGGCUCAACCUGGGAACUGCAUCCAUAACUGCUUGGCUAGAGUACGGUAGAGGGUAGUGGAAUUUCCUGUGUAGCGGUGAAAUGCGUAGAUAUAGGAAGGAACACCAGUGGCGAAGGCGACUACCUGGACUGAUACUGACACUGAGGUGCGAAAGCGUGGGGAGCAAACAGGAUUAGAUACCCCAGUAGUC